rnacentral:rRNA from 1 species
GCGGCAAAAGCUCAAAUUUGAAAUCUGGCACCUUCGGUGUCCGAGUUGUAAUUUGAAGAAGGUAACUUUGGAGUUGGCUCUUGUCUAUGUUCCUUGGAACAGGACGUCACAGAGGGUGAGAAUCCCGUGCGAUGAGAUGCCCAAUUCUAUGUAAAGUGCUUUCGAAGAGUCGAGUUGUUUGGGAAUGCAGCUCUAAGUGGGUGGUAAAUUCCAUCUAAAGCUAAAUAUUGGCGAGAGACCGAUAGCGAACAAGUACAGUGAUGGAAAGAUGAAAAGAACUUUGAAAAGAGAGUGAAAAAGUACGUGAAAUUGUUGAAAGGGAAGGGCUUGAGAUCAGACUUGGUAUUUUGCAAGCCUUACCUUCGUGGUGGGGUCCCCUGCAGUUUACUGGGCCAGCAUCGGUUUGGAUGGUAGGAUAAUGACUUGGGAAUGUGACUUUGCUUCGGUAAAGUGUUAUAGCCCUUGUUGAUACUGCCUGUCUAGACCGAGGACUGCGUCUUUGACUAGGAUGCUGGCAUAAUGAUCUUAAGUCGCCCGUCUUG